CUGCCGAUAACUCUGGGAUAGCCUUUCGAAAGAAAGAUUAAUACCGGAUGGCAUAGUUUUCCCGCAUGGAAUAACUAUUAAAGAAUUUCGGUUAUCGAUGGGGAUGCGUUCCAUUAGGCAGUUGGCGGGGUAACGGCCCACCAAACCGACGAUGGAUAGGGGUUCUGAGAGGAAGGUCCCCCACAUUGGAACUGAGACACGGUCCAAACUCCUACGGGAGGCAGCAGUGAGGAAUAUUGGUCAAUGGACGAGAGUCUGAACCAGCCAAGUAGCGUGAAGGAUGACUGCCCUAUGGGUUGUAAACUUCUUUUAUACGGGAAUAAAGUUAGCCACGUGUGGUUUUUUGCAUGUACCGUAUGAAUAAGGAUCGGCUAACUCCGUGCCAGCAGCCGUGGUAAUACGGAGGAUCCGAGCGUUAUCCGGAUUUAUUGGGUUUAAAGGGAGCGUAGGCGGGGUAUUAAGUCAGUUGUGAAAGUUUGCGGCUCAACCGUAAAAUUGCAGUUGAUACUGGUAUCCUUGAGUGCAGCAGAGGUGGGCGGAAUUCGUGGUGUAGCGGUGAAAUGCUUAGAUAUCACGAAGAACUCCGAUUGCGAAGGCAGCUCACUGGAGUGUAACUGACGCUGAUGCUCGAAAGUGUGGGUAUCAAACAGGAUUAGAUACCCUGGUAGUCCACACAGUAAACGAUGAAUACUCGCUGUUGGCGAUACAAUGUCAGCGGCCAAGCGAAAGCAUUAAGUAUUCCACCUGGGG
rnacentral:rRNA from 1 species